GUUACCAAGGCAUGCAGUAUAAAAACAGCAGAGGCAUGAAGAGAGGCCAGUUAAGAGAGGUGUGCAGUUUAAGAAAGGAUAUUAUGACCAGAGAGAUCCAAGAUGAGCUGGAUCACCAGAGAGGUCCCGAAAUUUUCCUCCCAAAGAAUGGGCCUAACUGAGAGUAUUGGGAAGAAGAAUAAGAUGAAAGAAGAGAUAGGACUGAUAAUGGAAAAAUGAUGACUGAUAAAAAAAAAAAAGACAGAGCUUCUUAGUUUUUACUUUGUUUCUCUUUUCUUUACCUGUGGAGAUCUGUGAAUUGGAAAGGACAAAAUAAAAAAUGACUGAUU